CUACAGUCCUACCUCCAGGCAGGGACACGGGACACUGAGGAGGACCCUACAAGCUCUAACCACAGCUCUCCAACCUGGCAAAGAAGUAUCUGUGUAUACCAGCCACAAGUUCCUGUUCAGAGAGGGUCAUUAGCCCAGUAAUUAAAUUGCCCGAUGGAGGAGUGAGAGCUUGGCCUUCACUUUCGGCGCUGUAAUGACUGCCCCCUCUUUAACAUGGACGGACUCCCACUGGGCUGAGGUCAGGGAUACACCCAAGUCCCUCUCCCACUGAUGUUUGAUGGAGGCGAGGCUGUCUGAGGAGGCGAGGCACAAUAACCCAUACACUGCUGAAAUGACUCCCCUUCCUAAG